rnacentral:lncRNA from 1 species
GAAGAGUUUUGGGGAGUUCAGCUGUCCUUGGUAGGAUUAGAGUCCCAGAAGAGGAAAGAUAAAAGGACCAGGGUGUCACAGGAGGAUGAGGAGCAGCGGGAGGCAGAGCUGAGCAUCAGUGCCCACAGCCCCGGUGCCAGCCCUGUCAGCCCCUCCAGCCACAUGGGGAGAAGCCAAAGGGCAGAAUUGCCAUGUCAGGAGACAUCAUGAAUUCCAUCAGCAAUUGCUCUCCUUGGGAGCUGGUCCCAGCCCUGUGCUACCCCAGCAGGAGCAGUGGGUCAGGAGCUGCUUUGGGAAUGGCAGGACUCAUGUGGCUGCACCUCAGCUGGGCUGGGACUGGAGAAAAGACCACAUGGAAUAUUGGAAGUUAAUUUAAACUGCAUAGAAAUGGGGUAAGAAAUGAGAUUUAAACCUGAUUUUCAGCAAUUCAGUCCUGAAGUUGUGGCUGUAUGUAAGGGAGCCCAUUAGCAGAUGAUCCAGGCCAAGAAAUCAAAGCAUGAUCUCUAAAAUCUGGACUUUCAUCCCAAAUAUGCAGCUGGGUGUUCAUGCUCCCCAGGUGUCAGGGAGAAUUCUGAUCCACAAGGCAUCAAGAAAAUCAAGAGA